CAGUCGCCGCGGGAAUACGAAGGGUGCAAGCGUUACUCGGAAUUACUGGGCGUAAAGCGUGCGUAGGUGGUGGUUUAAGUCCGUUGUGAAAGCCCUGGGCUCAACCUGGGAAUUGCAGUGGAUACUGGGUCACUAGAGUGUGGUAGAGGAUAGUGGAAUUUCCGGUGUAGCAGUGAAAUGCGUAGAGAUCGGAAGGAACAUCUGUGGCGAAGGCGACUAUCUGGGCCAACACUGACACUGAGGCACAAAAGCGUGGGGAGCAAACAGGAUUAGAUACCCGUGUAGUCCCUGUCUCUUAUAC
rnacentral:rRNA from 1 species